rnacentral:rRNA from 1 species
UACAGAGGGUGCAAGCGUUAAUCGGAAUUACUGGGCGUAAAGCGUGCGUAGUCGGUUAUCUAAGUCGGGUGUGAAAUCCCCGGGCUCAACCUGGGAAUUGCAUUCGAUACUGGAUAGCUAGAGUUCGGCAGAGGGAAGCGGAAUUUCGGGUGUAGCGGUGAAAUGCGUAGAUAUCCGAAGGAACAUCAGUGGCGAAAGCGGCUUCCUGGACCGAUACUGACGCUGAGGAGCGAAAGCUAGGGGAGCAAACAGG